UAGAGAUACGUUUUUCCUUCGGGACGCAGAGACAGGUGGUGCAUGGUUGUCGUCAGCUCGUGUCGUGAGAUGUUGGGUUAAGUCCCGCAACGAGCGCAACCCUUAUGCUUAGUUACUACGCAAGAGGACUCUAAGCAGACUGCCGUUGACAAAACGGAGGAAGGUGGGGAUGACGUCAAAUCAUCAUGCCCUUUAUGACUUGGGCUACACACGUACUACAAUGGCGUUUAACAAAGAGAAGCAAGACCGCGAGGUGGAGCAAAACUCAAAAACAACGUCUCAGUUCAGACUGCAGGCUGCAACUCGCCUGCACGAAGUCGGAAUUGCUAGUAAUCGCAGAUCAGAAUGCUGCGGUGAAUACGUUCCCGGGUCUUGUACACACCGCCCGUCACACCAUGGGAGUCAGAAAUGCCCGAAAUCGGUGACAUAACCGUAAGGAAUGAGCCGCUGAAGGCAGGUCGGAUAACUGGGGUGAAGUCGUAACAAGGUAGCCG
rnacentral:rRNA from 1 species